UUUAAUGGUAGGGUAAACACGUUGAAUAUUACAAAUUCUAUUGUAAUUGGUACACUCUAUGCUUUUCCGUUUUCAUCCCUCCUUUCUUGAAAAUCUUGAUCUUAGCAUGAACAAUUUCUCGGGAACCAUUCCACCUGAGAUUGGUAUUCUCACUAAUCUCGUCUUUCUUAACUUGAAAAUCAAUCAGUUUUCAGGAACAAUCCCACAGCAAAUCGGUUCACUAGCCAAGCUUCAGACCCUCCGUAUAUUUGACAACCAUUUAAAUGGCUCUAUUCCUGAAGAAAUAGGUUACCUAAGGUCUCUUACUAAGCUAUCUUUGCGUAGGAACUUUCUUACUGGUUCUAUUCCUGCUUCAUUGGGGAAUUUGAACAACUUGUCUUUUUUGCUUCUUCAUGAAAAUCAACUUUCUGGCUCUAUUCCUGAAGAAAUAGGUUACCUAAGGUCUCUUACUAAGCUAUCUUUGGCUAUGAAUUCUCUUAAUGGCUCUAUUCCUGCUUCAUUGGGGAAUUUGAGCAACUUGUCUGUUGUGGAUCUUUCUGAUAAUCACUUUUCUGGCUCUAUUCCUGAAGAAAUAGGUUACUUGAGGUCUCUUACUGACCUAUAUUUGGGUAAUAACUCUCUUAAUGGAUCUAUUCCUGCUUCAUUGGGGAAUUUGAGCAACUUGUCUUUUUUGUAUCUUUCUGAUAAUCACUUUUCUGGCUCUAUUCCUCUAGAGAUAGGUUACUUGAGGUCUCUUACUUAUCUAUAUUUGGGUAAUAACUCUCUUAAUGGAUCUAUUCCUGCUUCAUUGGGGAAUUUGAACAACGUGUCUUUUUUGUUUCUUUAUGAAAAUCAACUUUCUGGCUCUAUUCCUGAAGAAAUAGGUUACCUAACGUCUCUUAGUAUCCUACAUUUGAGUAAUAACUCUCUUAAUGGCUCUAUUCCUGCUUCAUUGGGGAAUUUAAGAAAUCUGAACAACUUGUCUGUUUUGUAUCUUAAUAAUAAGCAGCUUAUGAUGUUGGAUUUGAUUUUUAGUUUAUAAGCUUUUCUUAACUUGGGAAAAUGUAAUAUUAUGAAUUUUGAUGAUAUACAAUAAAUGCACCCUUGUGGUCCGGCCCUUCUCUUAGCCUUUUAUUAUACAAACAGGCUUACUCAAAGUAAACUGUUUUUGUCAUUUGCAUUCAUCAAUAAUGUUCCUUGUUGUGCUCGUAGCACUUUGAAACUUUCCUUUGCCAAUUGCAAUAAUGUUAGUUUGAAACAUUUGUGUGUUCUAUUUCCAGAUACAGGGGGGGUAUACUAGAUAGAUCAAAGUGGGAUAAUCUAUAGGAAACAGCACUGGCAAGACAGAAUCUUGUAAAAUGAUCCUAACAACAGGGAAGCUCCGUCUAAUCUAUUCAAGGUAGCUGAUAAUUCAAACGAUGCACUUAAUAGCUCAACCAACUCUGGAACAAACGGUGCACGAAAUGGCUGCUAUGGCUCAUUACCAUGGCUAUGGUGUUCUCAUGCAACAACAGGUUGCCAAUAUGACUCAAUCACAACAACCGUUACAACACGAAGCCUUGAUGAUGCAGCAACAAAUGGCUAUUAUGCCUCUGCAACAGCAAACUGCUUCUAUGACUCAACAUAAUGAAGGAGAGAUUCAAGAAGAAGAUAUAGCUGGAGAUUUUAAUAUCUGCAAAAAUAUCCUAAUCUAUCUCUAAUGAAAAACUAUUAUCUCAUAUUUUAAAAGUUUCAUUCGGAAAAAGUUCACAUCACCAUUAUCUAUCGAAAAUAUAACUUGAAUUGGCUGAGUGACUUCAUACGUGAAAUGACAAUAAAUAAGUGACUUUUUUGUUACAAGACAAAGAAAAAUGACUUUCUGAAUAGUUGAGUGAGAACAUGUGCGCAAGCAACGCUUGACAUUUGCUAUAUGAAUUGAAGAUAAUGAAGCUAGAAAUUUAUUGAUUGACUGAGAAUUAUUGGAUAUGGUUAACUACUUUAGAAAUAAAAAUUAAGAACCAGACGUGUCUGCGUAAUACAUUAAAAGUGGUCAUAAUCGAUGUUUGAUUAAGUCCUUGGUUGAAUUAGAGGUUAUGACAUUAAAAGUGGUCAUAAUCAAUGCCUAAUUAAGUCCUUGGUUGAAUUAUAGGUGUAACACAAAACAACCCAAAGUUUGACUUAAAGGUGACAACAUUUUCUCUAAUAGCAGCCAAAUUUGGAAAUUUGGAGAAAACGCGUUUCCUGUUGGUCUUUUAUUAGUAUAAGUACGUACAAUAUCAAAUCUAUGAACCCGAAACAAUAAACUCAAAAUAUGAUUGAUGGUUUCUAGCUAAAACAUUCUCUUCACUUCAGUUUUUCACUCUAUUCUACCUCUUUACGGUUGCAUUUGCUUCCACUGAGGAAACAACUGCCCUCUUAAAAAUGGAAAAGCAACUUUCAAGAACCAGAAUAAUUCCUUAUUGGCUUCAUGGAUGCCAAGUUCUAAUGCAUGCAGGGACUGGUAUGGAGUUAUAUGCUUUAAUGGUAGAGUAAACACGUUGAAUAUUACAAAUUCCAGUGUCAUUGGUACACUCUAUGCUUUUCCGUAUUCAUCUCUCCCUUUUCUUGAGAAUCUUAAUCUUAGCAUGAACAAUUUCUCGGGCACCAUUCCACCUGAGAUUGGAAAUCUCACUAAUCUUGUUUAUCUUGACUUGAACAUCAAUCAGAAUUCAGGAACAAUCCCACCACAAAUCGGUUCACCAGGCAAGCUUCGGAUCCUCCAUAUAUUUGACAACCAUUUAAAUGGCUCUAUUCCUGAAGCAAUAGGUUACCUAACGUCUCUUACUAAGCUAUCUUUGGGUAUGAACUUUCUUACUGGUUCCAUUCCAGCUUCAUUGGGGAAUUUGAACAACUUGUCUUUUUUGUUUCUUUAUGAAAAUCAACUUUCUGGCUCUAUUCCUGAAGAAAUAGGUUACCUAACGUCUCUUAGUAUCCUACAUUUGAGUAAUAACUCUCUUAAUGGCUCUAUUCCUGCUUCAUUGGGAAAUUUGGGCAACUUGUCAGAUUUGUAUCUUUAUAAUAAUCAGCUUUCUGGCUCUAUUCCUGCUUCAUUCGGGAAUCUGAACAACUUGUCUAGUUUGUAUCUUUAUAAUAAUCAGUCUUUCUGGCUCUAUUCCUGAAGAAAUAGGUCGCUUGGGUCUCUUACUUAUCUAUAUUUGGCUAAUAACUCUCUUAAUGGCUCUAUUCCUCCUUCAUUGAGGAAUUUGAGAAAUCUGAGAAAUAUGAUUCUCAAUGAUAACAAUCUCACUGGGGAAAUUACUUCAUUUGUGUGCAAUUUGACAUCACUGGAAGUGUUGUAUAUGCCGAGAAACAAUUUGAAGGAAAAGUUCCGCAAUGUUUGGGCAAUAUCAGCGGCCUCCAGGUUCUAGUGAUGUCACAUAAUAAUCUCAGUGGAGAGAUCCCGUCAUCUAUUUCCAAUUUAAUAUCACUACAAAUUCUAGAUUUGGGCAGUAACAAUCUGGAGGGAGCAAUUCCACAAUGUUUUGGCAAUAUUAGUAAUCUCCAGGUUUUUGAUAUGCAGAAUAACAAACUUUCUGGGAGCCUUCCAACAAAUUUUAGCAUUGUAAAUUCACUUAUAAAUCUCAACUUGCAUGGCAAUGAACUAGAGGGGGAAAUCCCUCGGUCUUUGGCCAAUUGCAAAAAGCUGCAAGUUCUUGAUCUUGGAGAUAAUCAUCUCAAUGACACAUUCCCCAUGUGGUUGGGAACUUUGCCAGAGCUGAGAGUUUUAAGGUUGACAUCGAAUAAAUUGCAUGGACCUAUAAGACCUUCAGGGGCUGAAAGCAUGUUUCCUAAUCUUCAAAUCAUAGAUCUCUCUUACAAUGCCUUCUCGAAAGACUUACCAACGAGUCUGUUUCAAAAUUUGAAAGGCAUGAGAACAAUUGAUCAAACCAUGGACAAACCAAGUUAUGAAGGAGAUGGAUAUUACCAAAACUUGGUAGUUGUUGUAUCAAAGGGAUUGAAGCUUGAAGUUGUGAGAAUUUUGUCUUUGUACACAGUUAUUGAUCUUUCAAACAACAAAUUUGAAGGAUAUAUUCCUGGUGUUCUGGGAGAUCUCAUUGUGAUUCGGGUACUGAAUUUAUCUCAUAAUGGAUUGCAAGGUCCUAUACCACCAUCACUUGGAAGCUUAUCUGUAGUGGAAUCACUGGACCUUUCGUUUAACCAUCUUUCGGGAGAGAUACCACAACAACUUGCUUCUCUUACGUAUCUUGGAUUCUUAAAUCUCUCUCACAAUUAUCUCCAAGGAUGCAUCCCUCAAGGACCUCAAUUGCGUACCUUUGAGAACAAUUCAUAUGAAGGUAAUGAUGGCUUAUGUGGAUUCCCCGUUUCGAAAGGUUGUGGCAAUGAUCCUGUGUCAGAGACAAAUUAUACUGUGUCUGCGCUAGACAAUCAAGAAAGCAAUUCUGAAUUUCUCAAUGAUUUUUGGAAUGCCGCUCUGAUGGCCUAUGGCAGUGGAAUAUGUAUUGGAUUAUCCAUAAUAUACUUCAUGAUCUCAACUGGAAAUAUGAAAUGGCUUGCAAGAAUCAUUGAAGAACUGGAACACAAAAUUAACAUGCGAAAGAGAAAGAAGCAGAGAGGACAAAGGAAUUACAGAAGAAGAAAUAAUCGCAUCUACACAAGUUACCAACAAAGAAGGAUUUGAUUUCAGAACUUCAGGUAUUCAAGCUAAGCUCUACACUAAUAUUUUUUAGGUUUUAUGCUUUUUUUGUUACAAACAAGUGCUUAUUAACGUUUCAUACAAAUUGCAAGUAAUCGAUUGGAAACUGUGAUAAGGCAAAAAAUUUAUAGUUGUGUAACUCACUUUCUUAUUUUUUUUCAGCUUUUUCAGAUGCCAAGAAUAAGAAGACAUUGGCGUAAUGGAUUUGGUACUUCCUACGUUGCAGCUUAUGAUGAUGGAUUUGAUUUUUAGUUUUAUAAGCUUUUUUAAGUUGGGAAAAUGUAAUAUUAUGAAUUUUGAUGAUACACAGUAAAUGUUGUGUGUAUUGAAUGAUGUGUAUGCAUUUCUCGGAUCAAUAAUACUCACCUCAAAGAAUCUUAGAGAGCUGAAUGAAUGGAAGAAGAUAUUUAGCGCACGAUAGAAGAGAGAGAACAAACAAAGAAGAAUACGUAACAACCUAGGGCGUAACUGGUUAACUCACACCCCAAAGCAAGUUAUUAUGGUGGGAGAGACCAAGUUUUAAUUUUUUUGUGAUAAGGUUGUUGUGGAAACAGUGAGGUUGCAUACAAUACACCCUUGUGGUCCGGCCCUUCGCUUAGCCUUUUAUUAUACAAACAGGCUUACUCAAAGUAAACUGUUUUUGUCAUUUGCAUUCAUCAAUAAUGUUCCUUGUUGUGCUCGUAGCACUUUGAAACUUUCCUUUGCCAAUUGCAAUAAUGUUAGUUUGAAACAUUUGUCUGUUCUAUUUCCAGAUACAGGGGGGUAUACUAGAUAGAUCAAAGUGGGAUAAUCUAUAGGAAACAGCACUGGCAAGACAGAAUCUUGUAAAAUGACCCUAAAAAACUGGGAAGUUUCGUAUAAUCUAUUCGAGGUAGCUGAUAAUUCACAGGAUGCAUUUAAUAGCUCAACCAACUCUGGAACACAUGUUGCACAAAAUGGCCCAUUACCAGGACUAUGGUGUACUUAUGCAACAACAGGUUGCCAAUAUGACUCAAUCACAACAACAGUUACAACACGAAGCGUUAAUGAUGCAGCAGCAAAUGGCUAGUGUGCCUCUGCAACAUCAAACUGCUACUAUGACUCAACAUAAUGAAGGAGAGAUUCAAGAACAGGAAGCACAAAAUCAAGAAGAUAUAGCUGAUUGUGCCUCAAAUCAAGAUGAAGGAGAGAUUCUUGCAUCAAUGGAAAAAUAUUGGAUAUGGUCCCUACUUUAGAGAUAAGAAUUGAAAACCAGACAUGUCUGUAUCAUACAUUAAAAGUGGUCAUGACCAAUGUGUGAUAACAGAACUAUUUUUGCCACUUUGACCAAGUCCUUUGCUGAAUUAAAUGUGUAACUCAAAACAACUCAAAAUUUGACUUGAGAAUGACCACAUUUUCUCUGAUAGCAACCAAAUUUACAAAUUUGAAGAAAACGCAUUUCCUAUUCUUUUUGGGACAAGAGAUAUGUGUUUAAUUACUCUUUGCGAAAACAAUCAUAUGAAGAUUACUCCCUCUAUCUCAAUUUAUAAUGCAUAGUCUGGAUUUUCAAGAGCCAAAUAGUUUAAUUUUCACCAAAAAUUCAGGCAUGAAGUUUUUUAAAAAUUUAAAAUAAAAUUUAUAUAUUUUGAAACUACAAAAAAAGUACUCUAAGUUACAAUAACUUAUCCGCAAACCAUCUUCGGAGUGAUCGCGUGUGAAGUGAAAGAAUUGGAGUUUUUAAUAUCCAGAAACCAUCUUCAUAGGUUGAAAUAUCUUAAUCUAUCUCUAAUAAAAAAACUAUUAAUAUCCAGUUUUCAUCAAGGGUCAUUACCUAUUCCGACAAAUUCCACAAGAUACUUCAUCAUAUCAAAAAAUAAUCUCAGUGAAGAAAUUCUUUUAUUUGGAAAAUCGAUUUGAGAGUCAUUGAAAUUUAAUUUUAUCAAAAUAUUCGAGCAUGAAAAAUGUGAAACUCUUGGAGGUCUCAUAAAAAUAAAAUACCCUUUGCAACACGACUUUAUUUGGUAGAUUGAAAAAUCACCUAAUUUUUACACAUUUCAUUGACAGAUUGGCCACAUAUUAAUUUGAAUAUAUAUCAUUUAAAUUGAUUGAAUGACUUUAUACGGAAAAAUGACAAUAAUUGAGUGACUUUUCUGUCACAAAACAAAUAACAGAAAAAAUGACCUUUUGAAUAAUUGAUGAUAAUAUGAGAAGUCAAUACUGGACACCUGCUAUAUAAAUUCUCAAUAGUCAAAUUAAAGAUAAUGUAUUCUACAAAUUUAUUGGCUUAAGACGUAGAAUUGUUGGAUAUAGUCCAUUACUUAAAGAUGAAAAUGAGAACCAAACAUGUCUGUAUUAAUAUGUAAUAACAAAACUAUUUUGGCCACUUUGACUAAGUCAUUGGAUAACGGAGAAUUGUUGGCUUUUCAUUUUUUAAAAGAGCUUGAAAAUAAUUCCACACCAUCACUAUCUAACGAAAAUAUAACUUGAAUUGAUUAAGUGACUUUAUACGUGAAAUGACAAUAAUUAAGUAAUUUUUAUGUAACAAACCAAAGAAAAGUGAAUUUCCGAAUAAUUGAGUGAUUAUGUGAAAAAUCAACUCUUGACAUCUACUACAUGAAUUAGAGAUAUUGUAGCCUAGUGUUUUAUUGAUCUAAAACUGAAAAUUAAUGGAUAUAAUCCACUACUUUAGAGAUAAGAAUUGAGAACUAGACAUGUUUGUAUCAUACGUUAAAAGUGGUCAUGACCGAUGUCUAAUAACAAAACUAUUUUGGCCACUCUGACUAAGUCCUUGACUGAAACAACUCAAAAUUUGGCUUGAGAAUGACCAUAUUUUCUCUGAUAGCAACCAAAUUUGCAAAUUUAAAGGAAACGUGUUUCCUAUUAAUCAUCAAUUUAUUUUAAUUUUCUUCUUGGGACCAGAGAAAUGUAUUUAAUUAUUCUUUGAGGAAACAAUCUUAUGAAACUUACUCCCUCUAUCUCAAUUUAUAAUGCAUUGUUUGAAUUUUCAAGAGCCAUCCUUCAAUUGUUAUCGUAAAUUCAAGCAUGCAGUCUUUAAAUUUUUAAAAUAAAAUUUAUAUAUUUAAAACUACAUAAAAAAUACUAUAAGUCAUAAUAAUUGAUCCACAAACCAUCUUCUAAGUGAUCGCGUUUAAAGUAAAGAAUUAGAGUUUUUAAUAUUCAAAAACCAUCCUCGGAGGUUGACAUAGCUUAAUAUAUCUCUAAUAAAACACUAUUAAGAAAUCCCUUUUAUAUAUUUGUAAACUCGAUUUGAGAGUCAUUAAAAUUUAAAUUUAUCAAAAUAUUCGAGCAUGAGAAAGCCUUUGCAAUAUGACUUUAUUAGGCAUAUUGAAAAAUCACCAAAUUUUUACACAUUUCAUUCAAAUUGAGAUGACGUUAGUUCAAGUAGGGAAAAUACAUAACUUAUUAUUCGAAUGUAAAACUCACAAAAAAAAAAAGUGAUAUUCACAUAUAUUUUUCACCAUUAUCUCAUAAUUUUCUUUAUUCAUUUUUCAAAAGUUCCACAUCAUGAGACAUCAACAUCUAGCAGAUCCCAACAAAAUAAAACACCCUUCUCAACACGGCUAAGACAGAUUGAAAAAUGACAACAUUUUCUAAAAGACAAAAACAAACAACCCAAAUUUGUAACAAAGACACUACGAAUCAUGGUAACGUCUAAGACUGAGAAUUGUUGGAUAUGAUCUACUACUGUAGAGAUGAGAAUUGAGAACCAAUGUAGAGAUGAGAAUUGAGAACCAAACAUGUUUGUAUCAUACAUUAAAAGUGGUCAUGACCGAUGUCUGAUAACAAAACUAUUUUGGCCACUUUUGACUAAGUCCUUGACUGAAACAACUCAAAAUUUGACUUGAGAACCUCUAUCUCAAUUUAUAAUGUAUAGUUUGAAUUUUCAAGAGCCAAAUCCUUUAAUUUUUAUCAGAAAUUCAGGCAUGAAGUCUUUAAAUUGUUAAAAUAAAAUUUAUAUAUUUAAAAACUACGUAAAAAGUACAAUAAGUCAUAAUAAUUAAUCCGCAAACCAUCUUCUAACUGGUCGCGUUUAAAGGGAAAGAAUUAGAUUUUUUUAUAUUCACAAACCAUCCUCAAAGGUUGAGAUAUCUUAAUCUAUCUCUAAUAAAAUACUUUUAAUUUGCGAUCCAAUUUUCUUCAAGGGUCAUUACCUAUUCUAACAAAUUCCACAAGAUACUUCAUAUCAAAAAAUAAUCCGAGUGAAGAAAUUCCUUUUAUAUAUUUGUAAAAUCGAUUUGAGUCAUUGAAAUUUAAUUUUAUCAAAAUAUUCGGGCAUGAGAAAUUUGAAACUCUUGGAGGUCUCAUAAAAUAAAAUACCCUUUGCAAUACGACUUUAUUAGGCGGAUUGAAAAAUCACCUAAUUAUUCGGUAAAUGCUUUAGCACUCUUUGUUAAUGUUUAUAUUUUAUUGCCGCUAAAAAUCAUUUUUGUUAUAUUGGGAAGAAAUUAAAUUUUUGUUUGGUUAUUAUCAUUUAUAACGUAAGAUUUAUAUUGAUACUUAAUGUACUUACUAGAUUUUUUAGCAAUUUUUUUAAACGUAACUUGCAACAUUAAAUUAAAUCCAUAUUUAUUAGUAUAAUCUUACAUUUGAAUUGUGAAUUUGACUUUUAAAUUUUAUAAGACAAAUUACAUUAAUUACAUAAUUAAACAGUCGUAUUUAGUUUGAGUUAUUUUAAGGUUGUCAGUAGUUUAGAAAUGAAACUAAUAAUUCGCGUCGAAUUUACGAGUGUCUUUAAUACUUUUCUCUAAAAAAAUUGUAUGAUAUAGUCUGAAAUUAAAUUAAUAUAUACAAGUAUUCAAAUUCCUAUAGAGUGCAAAAUAAAAUUUCAAUAAGAAAAAAUAAUAUUGGAUUUAAUGGUAUGAAAAAAUAAAAUUGGAUUUAAUAGAUAUAAAAUGAAAAUAUUAUAUUGGGAAAAUGCACAAGUACCCCCAACCUAUGCCCGAAAUCCCAGAGACACUUAUACUAUAGUAAGGUCCUAUUACCCCCCCCCCGCCCACCCUUAUUUUAUAAAUAAUUUUCUAUUCCUUUUGGGUUUAUGUGGCACUAUCAACUAGAUAGCUUGAAAAAAUUGUCAACACGCGCUAGGCCCAGAAGAUAGUGCCACGUAGACCAAAAAGGGGUAGAAAAUUAUUUAUAUAAUAAGUUUGGAGGGGGGGGGGGAGUAAUAGGACCUUAGUGUAGUAUAAGUGUCUGAAAUUUCGAGCAUAGGUUGGGGGGGGGGGGUACUUAUGCAUUUUCCCCAUUAUAUUAUGAACAACAAUAGUAGCCGAAACAUAAAUAAAUUCCAUGCCUAUUAAAGCAUAAUAAUUGACAUGACAAUUUUACUGUUCUAUCCAUAUUAACUACGUAAUGUUUAAUAUUAAAUCUUGAAAAGUGUAAAAAUGAACAAGGAGAGUAAAUCAUAAUUCAAAUUGUUAACCUGUGCGCAGCACGGGCGUUCUUCAUCUAGUUCAAAUAUAGUUUUUGACCAUUUAUUAUGUCUUAAUUUUCUUUGCUCUUUCAUUUAUUUGGCUAUUCAUUUUUCAAAAGUUCCACAUCAUCAGACAACAAUAUCUAGCAGGUCCAUAAAAAAAAUAACACCCUUCUCAACACGGCUAAGAUAGAUUGAAAAAUAACAAUAUUUUCUCAAAGACAGAAACAAAACAACCCAAAUUUCCAACAAAGACAUAACGAAUCAUCGUAACAUCUAACACUGAGAAUUGUUGGAUAUGGUCCACUACUGUAGAGAUGAGAAUUGAGAACUACACAUGUCUGUAUCAUACACUAAGAGUGGUCAUAAUCAAUUUGUGAUAACAAAACUAUUUUGGCCACUUUGAUUAAGUCCUUGCCUGAAUUAGACCUCAAACACAAAACAAUCCAAAAUUUGACAAGAGAAUGACAACAUUUUUUCCUCUGAUAGCAGCCAAAUUAGCAAAUUUGGAAAAAAUGUGUUUUCUGUUGGUCUUUAAUUAGUAUAAGUUACGUACAAUAUCAAAUCCUAUGAAUCCGAAACAAUAAACUCAAAAUAUGAUGAUGGUUUCUAGCAAAACAUUCUCUUCCCUUCAGUUUUUCACUCUUUUGUACCUCUUUACAGUUACUUUUGCUUCCACUGAUGAAGCAACUGCCCUCUUGAAAUGGAAAGCAACUUUCAAGAACCAGAAUAAUUUUGUAUUGGCUUCAUGGACGCCAAGUUUUAAUGCAUGCACGGACUGGUAUGGAGUUAUAUGCUUUAAUGGGAGGGUAAACACGUUGAAUAUUACAGAUUCUAGUGUCAUUGGUACACUCUAUGCUUUCCGUUUUCAUCCCUCCCUUUUCUUGAAAAUCUUGAUCUUAGCAUGAACAAUUUCUCGGGCACCAUUCCACCUGAGAUUGGUAAUCUCACUAAUCUCGUCUUUCUUAACUUGAAAAUCAAUCAGUUUUCAGGAACAAUCCCACAACAAAUCGGUUCACUAGCCAAGCUUCAGAUCCUCCGUAUAUUUGACAACCAUUU
rnacentral:lncRNA from 1 species